rnacentral:rRNA from 1 species
GCAGCCGCCACGGUAAUACGGAGGGUGCAAGCGUUAUCCGGAUUUAUUGGGUUUAAAGGGUCCGUAGGCGGAUCUGUAAGUCAGUGGUGAAAUCUCACAGCUUAACUGUGAAACUGCCAUUGAUACUGCAGGUCUUGAGUAAAUUUGAAGUGGCUGGAAUAAGUAGUGUAGCGGUGAAAUGCAUAGAUAUUACUUAGAACACCAAUUGCGAAGGCAGGUCACUAAGAUUUAACUGACGCUGAUGGACGAAAGCGUGGGGAGCGAACAGGAUUAGAUACCCGCGUAGUCCCUGUCUCUUAUAC